rnacentral:rRNA from 1 species
ACCCGCUGAACUUAAGCAUAUCAAUAAGCGGAGGAAAAGAAACCAACAGGGAUUGCCCCAGUAACGGCGAGUGAAGCGGCAACAGCUCAAAUUUGAAAUCUGGCUUCGGCCCGAGUUGUAAUUUGUAGAGGAUGCUUUUGGUGAGGUGCCUUCUGAGUUCCCUGGAACGGGACGCCAAAGAGGGUGAGAGCCCCGUAUAGUUGGACACCGAGCCUCUGUAAAGCUCCUUCGACGAGUCGAGUAGUUUGGGAAUGCUGCUCAAAAUGGGAGGUAUAUCUCUUCUAAAGCUAAAUACUGGCCAGAGACCGAUAGCGCACAAGUAGAGUGAUCGAAAGAUGAAAAGCACUUUGAAAAGAGGGUUAAAUAGUACGUGAAAUUGUUGAAAGGGAAGCGCUUGUGACCAGACUUGUGCCGGGUUGAUCAUCCAGUGUUCUCACUGGUGCACUCUGCCCGGCUCAGGCCAGCGUCGGUUUUCGCAGGGGGACAAAAGCUUUGGGAACGUAGCUCCCCCGGGAGUGUUAUAGCCCAUUGCUCAAUACCCUUGCGGGGACCGAGGACCGCGCUUCGGCAAGGACGCUGGCGUAAUGGUCAUCAGCGACCCGUCUUGAAACACGG